GUUCAUUCCAGAUUCUCUUCAGCCUAUUCUUCCAAGUUCAGUAGAAGUAGAAGCAGAUCUGACCUUCGAACCUCUACCAAGUUGCAUUACAGGACGAGAAGUUAAGGUGUUAAGGAAUAAGGAGAUUCCUCUUGUUAAAGUUCAGUGGGAUGAAUCACACCCAGGCGACGCCACCUGGGAACUAGAGUCAGAAAUGCGAGAAGCUUACCCUCAUCUUUUCCAGGUAAUAUUUAAAUUCGAGGACGAAUUUUAUUUAAGGGGGGGAGGAUGUAAUACCCCGUAUUUCCUUAAAUGCCUAAACUCCUAUUAAUUGAGAUCAACUGAGUUCCUAUGUGCUCUAAAAGUUGUCAAUUGGGAUAAAUAGAGCAAAUAGUGAGUUCAGGUUGACUUAAUUAAUAUUAUUUGGAACUGACCUUUUAUUAAUUAGGACAUUUUGGUAACACUAAUAAUGGGUCAAUAGCUCUGGUAGAACAAAUAUUAUGGUUGGUACCACUUAAGAUAUUUGUUUCCACCACUUUCUAACCACACAUAUGCUACAAGGCUUGUGGUCCACAUGUUACUACCUUAUUGUUACCUACCAUAAGCCAUUUGGUUUCUAUGUAUCAGAAAGCAUAGAAAGAAAGAGGAAGCUUAAGAGAAGAAGGAGAGCAAGGCUAGUGGAGAAGAAGAAGAAGAAGGAAAGCUUGGAACCAACACCAUCAUCUUCAUCCUCAUCUCAUCUUCAACAACUUCUCCUCUUCAAUUUCUUGAGGUGGUUCUGAGCAGGAUAAGGGUAAGGGCAAGAUAGAGUGAUGUCUUGCUUACCUGAGGACUGGUGGCUUUUCUUCCGCUAUGUAGAUAUUUUUGAGAUCAUUGUCUAAUGAUCUAGAUCAGUAGUUUUAUUUUGGGCACUCUUAUGUACAUUUAUGCCAUAUUAUGUUAUUUUGGGCAUGUAUUGUAUAUGUAUGAUGUGCUUCUAGGCACUUAUGUAUUUCAGUACCAGUUUUACACUAUGUAUAAUAUGUAUUCUAGACA